rnacentral:rRNA from 1 species
ACGGGAGGCAGCAGUGAGGAAUAUUGGUCAAUGGGCGGAAGCCUGAACCAGCCAAGUAGCGUGAAGGAUGACGGCCCUAUGGGUUGUAAACUUCUUUUUCCAGGGGAUAAAGUGAGUCACGUGUGGCUUAUUGCAGGUACCUGGUGAAUAAGGACCGGCUAAUUCCGUGCCAGCAGCCGCGGUAAUACGGAAGGUCCGAGCGUUAUCCGGAUUUAUUGGGUUUAAAGGGUGCGCAGGCGGCACGUUAAGUCAGCGGUGAAAUGUCGGGGCUCAACCCGGGCACUGCCGUUGAAACUGGCGAGCUUGAGUACGGAUGAAGUCGGCGGAAUGUGAUGUGUAGCGGUGAAAUGCUUAGAUAUGUCACAGAACACCGAUUGCGAAGGCAGCUGACUAAUCCGCAACUGACGCUCAGGCACGAAAGCGUGGGGAUCGAACAGGAUUAGAUACCCUGGUA